GAUGAACGCUGGCGGCGUGCCUAAUACAUGCAAGUCGAGCGAACAGAUAAGGAGCUUGCUCCUUUGACGUUAGCGGCGGACGGGUGAGUAACACGUGGGUAACAUACCUAUAAGACUGGGAUAACUUCGGGAAACCGGAGCUAAUACCGGCUAAUCUUUCCAACCGCAUGGUUCGAUAGUGUAAGAUGGUUUUGCUAUCACUUAUAGAUGGACCCGCGCCGUAUUAGCUAGUUGGUAAGGUAACGGCUUACCAAGGCGACGAUACGUAGCCGACCUGAGAGGGUGAUCGGCCACACUGGAACUGAGACACGGUCCAGACUCCUACGGGAGGCAGCAGUAGGGAAUCUUCCGCAAUGGGCGAAAGCCUGAUGGAGCAACGCUGCGUGAGUGAUGAAGGUCUUCGGAUCGUAAAACUCUGUUAUUAGGGAAGAACAUACGUGUAAGUAACUGUGCACGUCUUGACGGUACCUAAUCAGAAAGCCACGGCUAACUACGUG
rnacentral:rRNA from 1 species